rnacentral:lncRNA from 1 species
CUGGGAAUGAGAGCCAGGCUGCCUACACUGCCAAUAUACCUCUAUUGCAUGAGUUUCCAUAAACUAAAAAGAACCUCAUGCCUAGAGGAAAAAAGAUAUAAAUAACUUAAUAUGAUAGCCUUUGGAGCUGCUUGUCCUCAAAAUCCAGGUCACAAAAUACCUUGAGGAAUCUCUACAUGGAAACUGGUUCCCAUCAGCCAUUUUCUCUUCAUGAACUUGAGUCAUAAUUCAUAGCAAAAUGUCACCAACUUGGAUUUAUUCACUUUUCCCUGUAAGAGGAAUGAAUAAAGGAAUCUAAGUGCAAAU